UGGGGUAUCGCCAAGCGGUAAGGCAGCGGGUUUUGAUCUCGCCAUACCUAGGUUCGAAUCCUAGUACCCCAGCCA
rnacentral:tRNA from 3 species